UCCCGUCCGAUCUGGCAAGUUAAGCAACGUUGGGCCUGGUUAGUACUUGGAUCGGAGACGGCUUGGGAAUCCCAGGUGUCGUAAGCU
rnacentral:rRNA from 1 species